rnacentral:ncRNA from 1 species
ACCCACUAAAUUGUUUGAUUCUAGCAAUUCUGCUUCCUACGCCACCCUACUAAUACAUGCAAGAUAUUCAUACCCGCAAAACCAUUAUUCCUCUCUAAAUGUCCCACCAACAAAAAUAAAAUAUAAUUUAUAAAGUUCUUUCUCCCUACUCCUUUGCGCCUGCAGUAUUGAAAUUUUAGCUAUUUACGCAAGUAAGAAUAAGGGACUGGCUUUAGGGCUGAUCAAAUUCGUGCCAGCUAUCGCGGUUAGACGACAGGCCCAAGAAAGCAUAACUUUAUCUAAUAUAGUUAUAAACAUUUAUAGCAAUAGGUCCAAUUUAAACCUAAACUCUAUUCCAUAAAUAACACACAAUCAUUUAUCACAGCUUAGACAGAAACAAGGAUUAGAUACCCUUUUAUCCUAAGCCUUACCAUCCUAGGGCAGUACGAGCCCAGACUUAAAACCCAAAGAAAUUGGCGGCGUUUCAACCCACCUAGGGGAACCUGCGAAAUAAUCCGAUGAUCCGCGCUAUACCCAACCUUAUUUAGCUCGCAGCCUGUGUACUGCCGUCAUCAGUCUACCUCUAAAAGACCAAGUAGGCCCAACGAGCCCGACCUCACUAUGUCAGGUCGAAGUGCAGCCUAUAAUAAGGACCUCGUGGGUUACAACUCAAAUAAACAUAUCCGCGUAUUCUAAUUGUAAACAUUUUUACAAAGAAGGACUUAGAAGUAAUGAAUUUACAGAACAAAUCCAUGAAUCUGGCCAUCUGAAACGUGUACAAAUCGCCCGUCGCUCCCGUCGAAAGAUGGGAUAAGUCGUAACAAAGUUGACCUAACGGAAGUUGGGUCUAGACC